UCAAGUGACUAAGUGCAUGUGGCGGAUGCCUUGGCGAUCACAGGCGAAGAAAGACGCGGCAGCCUGCGAAAAGCUGCGGGGAGCUGGCAAACGAGCUUUGAUCCGCAGAUAUCUGAAUGGGGGAACCCACACCGCAAGGUGUAUCCGUAGCUCAAUACAUAGGUUACGGAGGCGAACGAGGAGAACUGAAACAUCUAAGUAUCCUCAGGAAAAGAAAUCAACCGAGAUUCCGGCAGUAGCGGCGAGCGAACCCGGAGGAGCCCAGCUUUUGAUAGUACGAACUUUAGCCGAAAGGUCCUGGAAAGGCCUGCUAUAGUGGGUGAUAGCCCCGUAGGCGAAAGAGUUGGUACGGUACUAAGGAAGCGAGAAGUAGAGCGGGACACGUGGAAUCCUGUUCGAAGACGGGGGGACCAUCCUCCAAGGCUAAAUACUCGUGAUCGACCGAUAGUGAACCAGUACCGUGAGGGAAAGGCGAAAAGAACCCCGGGAGGGGAGUGAAAUAGAACCUGAAACCGCAUGCAUACAAACAGUAGGAGCCUCGUCAGAGGUGACUGCGUACCUUUUGCAUAAUGGGUCAGCGACUUACAUUCUGUGGCGAGCUUAACCGAAUAGGGGAGGCGCAGCGAAAGCGAGUUCGAAAUGAGCGUUCAGUCGCAGGGUGUAGACCCGAAACCAGAUGAGCUAUCCAUGGCCAGGUUGAAGGUGUGGUAACACACACUGGAGGACCGAACCGACUAGUGUUGCAAAAUUAGCGGAUGAGCUGUGGAUAGGGGUGAAAGGCCAAACAAAUCUGGAGAUAGCUGGUUCUCCCCGAAAACUAUUGAGGUAGUGCCUCGUGUGUCGCUCCAGGGGGUAGAGCACUGUUUUGGCUAGGGGGACAUGGAGUCUUACCAAACCAAGGCAAACUCCGAAUACCUGGAAGCGUAAGCACGGGAGACAGAGCACCGGGUGCUAACGUCCGGACUCAAAAGGGAAACAACCCAGACCGCCGGCUAAGGUCCCAAAUAACAGCUAAGUGGAAAACGAAGUGGAAAGGCCGUGACAACCAGGAAGUUGGCUUAGAAGCAGCCAUCCUUCAAAGAAAGCGUAAUAGCUCACUGGUCGAGUCCUUCUGCGCGGAAGAUGUAACGGGGCUAAGCUGUUAACCGAAGCCGCGGAUGCACUGGUUAUCCAGUGCGUGGUAGGGGAGCGUUCUGUAAGUCUGCGAAGGCGGUUCGAGAGGACUGCUGGAGAUAUCAGAAGUGCGAAUGCUGACAUGAGUAACGUUAAAGCAGGUGAAAAGCCUGCUCGCCGUAAGCCCAAGGAUUCCUGCUCUACGUUCAUCGGAGCAGGGUGAGUCGGCUCCUAAGGUCAGGCCGAAAGGCGUAGCCGAUGGGAAUCAGGUUAAUAUUCCUGAACCUGCGUCAGAUGCGAUGGGGGGACGGAGCAUGGAAGAUCAUCCGGGUGUUGGAAGUCCCGGUUGUUUAGCGUAGGAGGUCUGCAGGCAAAUCCGCAGACGCAUCUCCAAGGCAAAGACACGUGCCGCCACGGCGGCGAAGUGAUCGGAAGUGCUUCCAAGAAAAGCCUCUAAGCCCCAGUCUGAUGCGGACCGUACCGCAAACCGACACUGGUGGGCGAGCUGAAUAUGCUCAGGCGCUUGAGAGAACUCGGGAGAAGGAACUCGGCAAAUUGACACCGUAACUUCGGAAGAAGGUGUGCCGUAGUACCGUGAGAGGAGAGACACCUUGAGCGGGAAACGGUCUCAGAGAAUAGGUGGCUGCGACUGUUUAUUAAAAACACAGCACUCUGCAAAGUCGAAAGACGACGUAUAGGGUGUGAUGCCUGCCCGGUGCUGGAAGAUUAAUUGAUGGGGUGAGAGCCCUUGAUCGAAGUCCCAGUAAACGGCGGCCGUAACUAUAACGGUCCUAAGGUAGCGAAAUUCCUUGUCGGGUAAGUUCCGACCUGCACGAAUGGCAUAACGAUGGCCACACUGUCUCCUCCCGAGACUCAGUGAAGUUGAAAUGUUUGUGAUGAUGCAAUCUACCCGCGGCUAGACGGAAAGACCCCAUGAACCUUUACUGCAGCUUUGCAUUGAACUGUGAACCGAUUUGUGUAGGAUAGGUGGGAGGCAGAGAAGAGGCCACGCCAGUGGUCUUGGAGCCGACCUUGAAAUACCACCCUGAUUUGUUUGCGGUUCUAACCACGGACAGUGAUCCUGUCUUGGGACCGUGCAUGGUAGGCAGUUUGACUGGGGCGGUCUCCUCCUAAAGGGUAACGGAGGAGUACGAAGGUACGCUAGGUACGGUCGGAAAUCGUGCUGAUAGUGCAAUGGCAAAAGCGUGCUUGACUGCGAGAGCAACAACUCGAGCAGAUGCGAAAGCAGGUCAUAGUGAUCCGGUGGCUCUGAAUGGAAGGGCCAUCGCUCAACGGAUAAAAGGUACUCUGGGGAUAACAGGCUGAUACCGCCCAAGAGUUCAUAUCGACGGCGGUGUUUGGCAC
rnacentral:rRNA from 1 species